GACAGAGGGUGCUAGCGUUGUUCGGAAUUACUGGGCGUAAAGCGUGUGUAGGUGGUUGUCAUAGUCAGGUGUGAAAGCCUUGAGCUCAACUCAAGAAAUGCACUUGAUACUGGGCAGCUAGAGGACCGGAGAGGAUAGUGGAAUUCCCAGUGUAGUGGUGAAAUACGUAGAGAUUGGGAAGAACACCAGUGGCGAAGGCGGCUAUCUGGACGGUUUCUGACACUAAGACACGAAAGCGUGGGGAGCAAACAGG
rnacentral:rRNA from 1 species